rnacentral:rRNA from 1 species
UACGUAGGGUCCGAGCGUUAAUCGGAAUUACUGGGCGUAAAGCGUGCGCAGGCGGUUUUGUAAGCCAGAUGUGAAAGCCCCGGGCUCAACCUGGGAACUGCAUUUGGGACUGCAAGGCUUGAGUACGGCAGAGGGGGGGUAGAAGUUCCUGGUGGUAGCAGUGAAAUGACGUAGAUAUCAGGAGGAAUACCGAUGGCGAAGGCAGCCCCCUGGGUCGAUACUGACGCUCAUGCACGAAAGCGUGGGGAGCAAACAGG